UAUAAUAUAGUGUAUGAUGCACAUGAAUUUUUGGAAUUUAAGGAAGAGUUUAAUUCUUUAUAUUAUAA
rnacentral:tRNA from 1 species